rnacentral:rRNA from 1 species
GUGGGGAAUAUUGGACAAUGGGCGCAAGCCUGAUCCAGCCAUGCCGCGUGUGUGAAGAAGGCCUUCGGGUUGUAAAGCACUUUUGUCCGGGAAGAAAUCUUCCAGGUUAAUACCCUGGGAGGCUGACGGUACCGGAAGAAUAAGCACCGGCUAACUUCGUGCCAGCAGCCGCGGUAAUACGAAGGGUGCAAGCGUUACUCGGAAUUACUGGGCGUAAAGCGUGCGUAGGUGGUUCGUUAAGUCUGCCGUGAAAGCCCCGGGCUCAACCUGGGAAUGGCGGUGGAUACUGGCGGGCUAGAGUGCGGUAGAGGGUGGUGGAAUUCCCGGUGUAGCAGUGAAAUGUGUAGAGAUCGGGAGGAACAUCUGUGGCGAAGGCGGCCACCUGGACCAGCACUGACACUGAGGCACGAAAGCGUGGGGAGCAAACAGGAUUAGAUACCCGUGUAGUCC